AUGACUUAUACCGCAGAAAAGAAGACCUUAAUAAUAUGUAUUUUGCACUUACCCUUGUCUUUUUUGUCCUUAGGGCGAAAAAGGAGAUAAAGGAGUGACGGGUAAUCCUGGAUCAGGUUAUCCAGGGUCUAAAGGGGAUCGGGGACCUCCAGGUCUGCCAGGGCCGCCUGGUCCUCAGGGUCCGGCUGCUGAGUUAAUCAACGUCGGGGAAGGUAAAGUGGUGGAGAGGGUGGUGGGACCCGUCGGCCCCAACGGUCUACCAGGCCCUCCAGGUCCACCAGGACCUCCUGGACCAGAGGGGGAUACUGGAGACCCUGGAGAAGAUGGCAAAAAGGUAGGACCUUAACACACAGUUUAUAUCACUAUUAUAUUAACUGUACAAAUAAAUCAUCCACUCUGAUGCUUCCUUUAAGGGUC
rnacentral:lncRNA from 1 species